CAAAGUGCAUACUCUGAAUCAGAUUACAUUUGCCUCGAAAAGAAAGCAAGAAAGAAAGCAGACAAUAUGCUUUUAGGCACACAACCCUUAGAUGAUGAAGCAGCUAGCUGAUAUGCUUAGUCUCUUCAGUAAGGCAAGGACGAACACGACAGUGCAGCAGUUACUUAAGAUUUCAGCAGAACCAUAGAAACACUUUACGAGAUGAAAAAAAGAACACAUACAAGAAGAAAAAAAAACUCAACCACAUAUGGAUACUCCCAUUAGACUUUGUUCUAAGAAGGCAACAGGGGUUUCAUGGACCCUGGAGUUCAAGGGUCGAGAAUCUUUCGUGCAACACGGUACGUUUGUAUGAGAAUUAUAUAUUUAAUUAGUUUUGAACUUUUGUUGAAAUAAAUUGAUGAGGAUUCAAAAUUUUACUGUGCAGUUACACACGGCUCUAAGGCAAAAGGAGGAUCAUUAUCUGAUUGGAUAAGAGUAGUCGGAGAACUAACAUAUACCUUGGCUGCAUGCGUCGA
rnacentral:lncRNA from 1 species